AAAAUGAAAUUUGCUAAUUGCACCACAUGUGUUUUUUAUUGAACAAAUUUCUUUGGUGGCGGGAGCAAUCCUACCGCCAGAGGUUAUAACUAAACCAAACUUUUUAUUUACAGUCAAACUUGAUUUAUUAUUACAAUAGUCAAAACUUUCAACAACGGAUCUCUUGGUUCUCGCAUCGAUGAAGAACGCAGCGAAAUGCGAUACGUAAUAUGAAUUGCAGAUAUUCGUGAAUCAUCGAAUCUUUGAACGCACAUUGCGCCCUUUGGUAUUCCAAAGGGCAUGCCUGUUUGAGCGUCAUUUCUCCCUCAAACCCCCGGGUUUGGUGUUGAGCAAUACGCUAGGUUUGUUUGAAAGAAUUUAACGUGGAAACUUAUUUUAAGCGACUUAGGUUUAUCCAAAAACGCUUAUUUUGCUAGGGGCCACCACAAUUUAUUUCAUAACUUUGACCUCAAAUCAGGUAGGACUACCCGCUGAACUUAACCAUAUCAAUAACCGAAGGAAAAG
rnacentral:rRNA from 1 species